AAUAUUGAGUCGUUUCGCAUUUCCUUCGGCUCCCUAAAAGUAAAGGACGUUGCGCGUAAUUCAUUCCGGUAUAUAAAGAAAAAAAAUGUUUGAACAGUGAAAAAUUCUGCCAGUUAGUGAAUUAUCUAUUUUCUGGCAUUUUCGGAUCAAUUUCCUAGUGAAACAUUUCCAAAAAUUUAAUAAACACAAUGGAUAAGAGAAAAUUGUCUACUUCUGGGGAUUCCCUUUAUGCAAUUUUAGAAAUUCCUAAAACUGCCACUGCUGAUGAAAUAAAGAAAACUUAUCGAAAAUUAGCACUUAAAUAUCAUCCAGAUAAAAAUCCUAAUAAUCCAGAUGCAGCAGAAAAGUUUAAAGAAAUAAACAGGGCGCGAGCAAUUUUGUGUGAUUUAACAAAACGCAAUAUUUAUGACAACUAUGGGUCCCUUGGUUUGUAUGCUGCUGAGCAAUUCGGCGAAGAAAAUGUUAACUCUUACUUUAUUAUCACAUCUAAGUGGACCAAGGCAUUCUUUCUCUUAUGUGGAUGCAUCACUGGAUGUUAUUGUUGUUGCUGCUGCUUUGGUUGCUGUUGCUAUUUCUGUUGCGGAAAAUGUAAACCAACACCACCAGAGGAUAGUGGAGAUUAUCACAACUUGCAGCAGGACCAACAACCCGGGGCGAGUGUUUUGACGAGUCAACCCCAAAGUAUUUUCUCCAAUAACGCCCUCCUUGUUCGAGAGAGAUGGCAACUAACAAAUAAUGUAUCGUUUGAUUAUGGAAGGCAUCGCAUGUUAUCUGAGUGGUGGAGGACGAGAGUGACGAGGAUGCGGUGACUUCGCAACCUCAGGCUGGAGCAGCUCAGGGAGCCCCAAGUAGUCAACCAGCUUUUGCAAUGCCACCCCCUCCAUCAAUGGCAAAUGAAAGUACCACUCUGAACAGUGGAGGAGAUCGUGUCAGCUAUACCACCGUGUCAGGAGCAUCGACAAAUCCCUUUAGAGCGCCAUACGUUGGAACUGACUCAGCACCUUCCUGGUAGUUAUAAAAAAAAUUCAAAAUGAAAAAAAAGAAAAACGAAGAAGAACCGUCGCACUCGACUCAUUAGAAGAUUUCGACAGUGUCUGCAUAAUAUAUAUAUCCUCAUGUACAAAAUCUCCGAGUCGUAAAAUUUCACUAAAAAAAAAAAAAAAAAAAAAAACUGAUUCAAUUGACUAAAACGAAAUUUUUCAGAUUAUAUUUAUAAUAAUUGAAAAUUUCGUUAUUUUCUCGGUAACCAAAAUUAUGUUAAUAUUAUUUGGCAUUACAAUCUAUUUAAAUGAAGACUUUGUUUUAUAAUUUAUUCUAUUUUUUUUGUUUUAAAAUUUUAAUUCCAAAAAAUUUUGUUUGUUAUAAUGCAAAUAAAAAAUUUUUGAAAGAAAAUAACUCAGGUCUUAAAAUUUAUGAAUUCAUUUAUAAGUCCUGAAACUUGUUUUUAAAAUUACAUAGAAUUCCUUAGCAACGAUUAGAUUAUUGAAAAAAAAUGUGUAUGAUGUGAAAAUUAUAUCAAUUUAAUUAUUAUUAUAAUUGUAAUUUAAUUAUAUAAUUAUUGUAAAAUAUGUUAAAGUUUUCAUUAGAGUUUUUUUAAAAAAAUAUCUACGUUAGUUGUAUGGAAUUUUAGUUUAUUUACAGUAAUUUAAUAUACAAUAUAAUAUAUAUUCAUUUAAACGUACCGAAAUAAAAUUCAGAAUUCAAAAAUAAUAGAAAUCAAUUUAAUUACAAAAAAAAUACCUAUGAAAACAAGAAAACAAAUAAUAGGAAAAAAUUUCUAUGUUUUAACAAUAUAUUUGUAUAUUUAAAAAAAAAUAAUUUUUAAUUAAUUUCUUAUUUAUAAUUAAAAGUAAUGAUAUUUAUUAUCUAGCAGAAAAAAAUAUUUUCAGUAAAUAUUAGAAUUUUUAAAAAUAAAUUAAGAUUUUCCAAAAUUCUACGAGAGGAAUAAACUUUUAAUUUUUGAACAAUAUAAAAAAUAUGGCAUUUAAAAAAUUUUAAUUUUCAAAUUUAAAAAAGCAUAAUAUACGAUAUUCGUGAAAAGUGGGAGGGGGGAGAUAAAAUAAUGCCUAAGGUGCCAUAAAAAAAAUAUAGGUGCAGAUACACGAUAUAGAAGAGUUGAAACGACCCGAUAUAUAAAAGUAAUUAUAUUUAACUUUGCUAUACAGUUUUUAAUGGUCGUUAUUAGAGGAAAAAAAAAACAAGAACAAAAAACAAUUAUUGCAAAUAAGCCUUUGAUUAGUGUCUCUCUGUUAUUUAAUUAAUGUCGAUACAAAAAAAAAUAUAUAAUAAUUAUAGUAAAAUAUAAAUAUAUGUAUAUUAUGAUGUACAAUUCAUAAUUAUUCCGUUCAUCUUCAUUAAAAAAUGUAUUGAGAAAAAUUUCUGAUAUUCAGGAAAAAAAUGAAAUUUUAAUUAUCAAUAUAAUAUCUAUUGCAGAUUCUUUCCAAUAUUAGCAAAUUCACUGCUUAUAAUAUAAGGUACAUAAAGAAAUUUUUUUUUUUUAAAGUCCUACGUCUUCACGGCUUAUAAUAAUAUAAUAUAAUUAUUAAAAAAUAUGCAAAAAAAAAAUUUAUUUCCAAUAUUUCGAUGUAUUUUUUUUUUCUUAAUAGAUAUGAAAAAUAAUAUUAUAUAUUAAUCUCAAAUAUCAAAGAAACAAAUAUUCUAAUUUUAAGAAUGUAAUUUUGGCUCUUAUUUAAAAUCUAUAAUUUUUUAUUUAAUUUAUAUAAAAUUUCUUAUACCAGUUAGAAUAUAUUUUAUAUUGCUUUGAAAAAAUAAACAAUUAAGAAAUAUUCUUAUUUUUAGAAUAUUUUUAUUUAAAAAUAUAUUCUUAAUGUAAGGAUAUUUAUAUUCCAACUAUAAUUUUAAUCUAUUUUAUUUCUUUAUCAUUUUUAAUACUCAUUUAAAUGUUUAAUAGAAAAUAAAAUUAUAAUUAUAAUACACAAUUUAUUUAUAUUGCAUAAAUUAUUAAAUAAAUUGUUUAAAUAAAUCUUGAUAAAUUUACAGUCAUAUUUAUCGAAAAAAAAGAAAAAAAAAACUAAGAAACUAUAUCAUGUUAGAUAUAAUCAUAUAAAAAAUCAUGUAAUUAAAUUCCUAAACUGUAAAUACAAAGUCUAUGAUUCAAUCCAA